GAGGAAAAGAAACUAACAAGGAUUCCCCUAGUAACGGCGAGUGAAGCGGGAAGAGCUCAAGCUUAAAAUCUCCGUGCAAGUUUUGUGCGGCGAAUUGUAGUCUAUAGAAGCGUGGUCAGCAUGGGCACUUGGGGCAAGUUCCUUGGAAGAGGACAGCAUGGAGGGUGAUACUCCCGUUCAUUUCUGAGUUGCUCGUGCGUACGACCCGUUUUCUUGAGUCGCGUUGUUUGGGAAUGCAGCGCAAAGUAGGUGGUAAAUUCCAUCUAAAGCUAAAUAUUGGUGCGAGACCGAUAGCGAACAAGUACCGUGAGGGAAAGAUGAAAAGAACUUUGAAAAGAGAGUUAAAGAGUACCUGAAACUGCUGAAAGGGAACCGAAUCGUUUCCAGUGUCUAUAAUCCGUGGUAUAUUUCAUUGGCGAGUGUGUGCGUGCGUGUGCUGUGGCAGCGGCUUUUUUGGCUGCGCUCGGCGUGUGUGCUGUGUGUGCUUGCUGGUGCUCUGUGCUGCGGUGGGACGUCAAGGUCAGUUCGUAUGCUGCGGGAAAUGGCUGCCGAGGAGGUAGGGCUUACGCUUGCGUUUGUCUGUUAUAUCUUGGUGGACGAGUAGUCGCGGUUGGGACUGAGGUGCCUACAACGUGCUUUUGAGUGGGUUUGUGUCUCCGUGUGCGCCGUGUGCGGAUAGCUUGCUAUGCGUGUGUGGUUGUGUGUGGAUUGAUGCGAGCUUUAACUUGU
rnacentral:rRNA from 1 species